rnacentral:tRNA from 1 species
UGGCUCAGUUGGUAGAGCAUGGCACUUGCAACGCCAGGGUCGUGGGUCUAAUUCCCAC